AAGACUAUAGACCUGCGGAGUACCUGCGGAAGGAUCAUUACCGAGUGAGGGCCCUCUGGGUCCAACCUCCCACCCGUGUUUAUCGUACCUUGUUGCUUCGGCGGGCCCGCCUCACGGCCGCCGGGGGGCACCUGCCCCCGGGCCCGCGCCCGCCGAAGACAUCAUUGAACUCUGUCUGAAGAUUGCAGUCUGAGUAGAUUAGCUAAAUCAGUUAAAACUUUCAACAAUGGAUCUCUAGAU
rnacentral:misc_RNA from 1 species